GCUUGUUGGUGAGGUAAUGGCUCACCAAGGCGACGACGGGUAGCCGGCCUGAGAGGGUGACCGGCCACACUGGGACUGAGACACGGCCCAGACUCCUACGGGAGGCAGCAGUGGGGAAUAUUGCACAAUGGGCGAAAGCCUGAUGCAGCGACGCCGCGUGAGGGAUGACGGCCUUCGGGUUGUAAACCUCUUUCAGUAGGGAACAAGGCCAGCAUUUUUGUUGGUUGAGGGUACUUGCAGAAGAAGCGCCGGCUAACUACGUGCCAGCAGCCGCGGUAAUACGUAGGGCGCAAGCGUUAUCCGGAAUUAUUGGGCGUAAAGAGCUCGUAGGCGGUUUGUCGCGUCUGCCGUGAAAGUCCGGGGCUCAACCCCGGAUCUGCGGUGGGUACGGGCAGACUAGAGUGAUGUAGGGGAGACUGGAAUUCCUGGUGUAGCGGUGAAAUGCGCAGAUAUCAGGAGGAACACCGAUGGCGAAGGCAGGUCUCUGGGCAUUAACUGACGCUGAGGAGCGAAAGCAUGGGGAGCGAACAGGAUUAGAUACCCUGGUAGUCCAUGCCGUAAACGUUGGGCACUAGGUGUGGGGGACAUUCCACGUUUUCCGCGCCGUAGCUAACGCAUUAAGUGCCCCGCCUGGGGAGUACGGCCGCAAGGCUAAAACUCAAAGGAAUUGACGGGGGCCCGCACAAGCGGCGGAGCAUGCGGAUUAAUUCGAUGCAACGCGAAGAACCUUACCAAGGCUUGACAUGAACCGGAAAGGCCUGGAAACAGGUCCCCCGCUUGCGGUCGGUUUACAGGUGGUGCAUGGUUGUCGUCAGCUCGUGUCGUGAGAUGUUGGGUUAAGUCCCGCAACGAGCGCAACCCUCGUUCUAUGUUGCCAGCACGUGAUGGUGGGGGACUCAUAAGGAGACUGCCGGGGUCAACUCGGAGGAAGGUGAGGACGACGUCAAAUCAUCAUGCCCCCUUAUGUCUUGGGCUUCACGCAUGCUACAAUGGCCGGUACAAUGGGUUGCGAUACUGUGAGGUGGAGCUAAUC
rnacentral:rRNA from 1 species